rnacentral:rRNA from 1 species
UGGGGAAUAUUGCACAAUGGGCGCAAGCCUGACGCAGCCAUGCCGCGUGUGUGAAGAAGGCCUUCGGGUUGUAAAGCACUUUCAGCGAGGAGGAAGGUGGUGGACUUAAUACGUUCAUCAAUUGACGUUACUCGCAGAAGAAGCACCGGCUAACUCCGUGCCAGCAGCCGCGGUAAUACGGAGGGUGCAAGCGUUAAUCGGAAUUACUGGGCGUAAAGCGCACGCAGGCGGUUUGUUAAGUCAGAUGUGAAAUCCCCGGGGCUCAACCUGGGAACUGCAUUUGAAACUGGCAAGCUAGAGUCUCGUAGAGGGGGGUAGAAUUCCAGGUGUAGCGGUGAAAUGCGUAGAGAUCUGGAGGAAUACCGGUGGCGAAGGCGGCCCCCCUGGACGAAGACUGACGCUCAGGUGCGAAAGCGUGGGGCAGCAAACAGGAUUAGAUACCCUGGUAGGUCCACGCUGUAAACGAUGUCGAUUUGGAGGUUGUGCCCCUUGAGGCGUGGNUUCCGGAGCUAACGCGUUAAAUCGACCGCC